GAUGAACGCUGGCGGCGGGCCUAAUACAUGCAAGUCGAGCGAACAGACGAGGAUCUUGCUUCUCUGACGUUAGCGGCGGACGGGUGAGUAAUACGAGGAUGACCUACCUAUAAGACUGGGAUAACUUCGGGAAACCGGACCUAACACCGGAUAAUAUAUUGAACCGCAUGGUUCAAUAGUGAAAGACGGUUUGGCUGUCCCUUAGAGAUGUAUCCGAGUCGCUUUAGCUAGUUGGUAAGGUAACGGCUUACCAAGGCAACGAUGCGUAGCCGACCUGAGAGGAUGAUCGGCCACACUGGAACUGAGACACGGUCCAGACUCCUACGGGAGGCAGCAGUAGGGAAUGUUGCGCAAUGGGCGAAAGCCUGACGGAGCAACGCCGCGUGAGUGAUGAAGGUCUUCGGAUCGUAAAACGCUGUUAGUAGGGAAGAACAAAAGUGUAGGAAGCUAUGCCCGUGUUGACGGUACCUAAUGAGAAAGCCACGGCUAACUUCGUG
rnacentral:rRNA from 1 species